UACCUCCCUGCAGCACUCAGCUGCUGACAUAUUACUUUGAGGCUAUAGCCAUCUGUGCUAUGGAGACCAUAAACAAGUGUAUGAGUUCAGACAGACCUGGACCCCUUUUUAGGACUGAGAAGAUACAAGCAUGAGAGUUUCACUGGCAGCUUUGCUUUUGAUCUGGGAGCUGUUAGAAGCCAUUGCACCACAGAUGAAAGGAGUUAGAAAAUUCCAUAUCAUAAUGCAGUUAGAUCAGUAAUUCAUGGAGCAGUUAUACUUACCAGGUUUCUGUGAACUGAUGUUGCAGCUUUACAAAGGUAGAGAUUUCUACAAGUUGGAUGAAUAACAUCAGCACUUUUGUAGAGAAAUAUAGUGAAGAUUUUGUGGGCACAAUGUGACAAGUGCAUGGAAAGUGCGGAAAAGACCACAGAAAAUAAGUGUUCAGAAAGUGAGCACUGGCAUCCACUUAUGAGCAAAAGCAGAAAGAAGAAAGUAGAGAUUUGUGUUGAUGAACAUCUUUGAUUCUGAAUCUGUAGUUCUAGAUCUGAAACAGCAGAAUCUUCUCAAAAUUAAUCAAAAGUCUACAUCCAGGAGACUAAAUUAAGACUUUAAGUUAAACAAUCUCAGUAUUUCAGCAAAAAAAAAAUGAUUUGAAGUUUUAAAGAAGACUAACAAGACUAAUUCUGUUAUAACAUGAGAAUUGAAAUUAAAAGACUGUGUGUCUCUUUGCAAAAAUGUGUCUUGGCCAGUUACCUCAGCUAUUUACCUAAGUAGCUACAGGACAUCUGUUUCAAGAUAGGUUGCAGGCACAUUACAUUUCACCUUCCUGAAGGGGAAGAGGAAAGGAAACUUAAUUUUGAAGUUAAGUAUUGGCAAAGCUUUCCGAUCUUCAUAAAGAUGCCAGACAGUGACAUCAUAUCUACUGUGUGCCCCUUUGCUUUAUGGCUGGAACUUCAUUUCAUGGUGGAAAUGUUGCAGGAGAACGAUUGAUCUUGACUUUCACAAGUGCUGUACUAAGCAAAAGUAACAAAUGGUGUCAUUGUUGAAGGCUGUGAAAAAAUAUUUGUAGUCAUGGCUGUAGCUGGAGCCAAAGUCAGAAGCACUGAACCAGAACCUACAUAGAACCCAAACUUCUCCAAGGUCACACAUUAUUUUAUUUAUUUGUUUUAACUUGACUAAGUACGUUUUUGAUCAUUUAACCGUGGUCUCUGUUCAUAACAGUUCCAGGGGUUUGUGAGAAAACAACUCUUCGGUGUUUUUAAAUACGAUUUCAAUUAAAUAUAAUUAUUCAGAACAAAUGUUUUCACCUACCACAUCAUGUAUCUGCAAUCUGUGCUUCUGCUUUCAAGUCUGUUAUAGUGAACAUAGGUUAAAUGACUGCACAAAAUAAUUAACAGUGGCCUUGUGUAAAAACAAACACACUCAGAAAAAAAGACUGAAAACCCCCAAUCCCUAGUGUGUGUAACCAAUGCUGCAUAUUGCUGACCAAAUCCUAACAUACUGGCAUUUCAGCCAAAGCUCUCACAAGCUUCCCUAGAAUUGAAUGCAGUCCACUUGCUGCAGGGAUGUAUUCUCGUCUAAAUGGUGUGUGUUGGAAACAAUUAUUAGUAAAUUUAAUUAUAUCAUGGCAAGUACUGUAGAAACUAGAUGCAUUCUUCUUCUUCUUCUUUGUUUCUUUUUUUCCAGCUCCACUUCUCAGCUACUCAGUCUGUUUAAAACUGUUGCUGUGUUCUGCUCAACACCUGAUGUGAUUCUCUGAAAUGGCUCCAUGUCAAAGUUAAGUGAAGUGAUCCCUGCACAGAAGGCCUAAUUCACAAAAUUACUGAAUCCUCAAGUUUCUGACUGAAGUCAAGGCAAGCCACUGCUUAAAAUCCAUUCCUAGACAUUUCUAUCUUGUGGUGGUGAUACUUUAGGCAGAAAAGGGCUACAUGUGACAUAUAUGUUAUCACAUUUUUAUUCUUCAUUCUAAAUCACAGUGAAAUUCCUAAUGAAAAAGAGAACAAGGAAUAGUUCAACUUGUAAAAUAAAGCUUUCACUAAGCACUGUAAGUUUUCCCAGCUUUACAAGAGAAGCUGCCAUGAGACAUCUUUUUAAUAACUUUAGGAAAUAUUAUGUUACAAAUGUUACAAACAUAUAUAAAAGCACACUAAAUGGCAUGUCAAAGCUAAGGGUCUGACUUUUUUAACUCAAAAGUAAAGACGCUCAAACCAACCUGCAUCCAUAAAAGAAAUGUUGAUAGACCCUUAACUCUUGUGAAGCCAAUGAUUGCUGGCAUAAAAAAAAGAAAUAACACAUUUUGAAAUAUGUUACAGUAAAGCUACAUACCAUCUAGUUUACAGAUUUAUAAGAUUUAGAUUAAACCAGGAUCUUUUCCGGUGUUUAUUAACUGCAUUAAAAAAAAAAAAAAAAAAAA